GGCUUGUAGGUGUAGGGGUAUGAUUCUUGCUUCGGGUGUGAGAAGUCCCAGGUUCAAAUCUCGGGAGAGCCC